rnacentral:rRNA from 1 species
UACGUAGGGUGCAGGCGUUAAUCGGAAUUACUGGGCGUAAAGCGUGCGCAGGCGGUUUCUUAAGUCAGAUGUGAAAGCCCCGGGCUUAACCUGGGAACUGCGUUUGAAACUGGGAGACUAGAGUGUGGCAGAGGGGGGUGGAAUUCCACGUGUAGCAGUGAAAUGCGUAGAUAUGUGGAGGAACACCGAUGGCGAAGGCAGCCCCCUGGGCUAACACUGACGCUCAUGCACGAAAGCGUGGGGAGCAAACAGG